rnacentral:lncRNA from 1 species
AUGGAAGGCCCUAUCCCACACUCCACCCACACACUGGGAACAAGUCUCUUUCUUUCUUUCUUUCUUUUUUUUUUUUUUUUUUUUUUUUGCUGGCUCAGCCGUUUAUUCGCCCUCGCGGGGUCACAGCAGAGCGGGGCCCGAGCACCCCCUCCCCACCAAGGUCCAGACCCGGCCCCCGACGCCCAGCCUGCGGCGUCCGGCUCGGUCACAGGUUGGCCCACUCCCGCUGCAGCCGCGAGGUGUAGGCGCGCGACACGGUGUUCCAGGCGUCCAUGUAGCGGUCCAUGCACAUGGCGAUGCACUCCCGAUGCACUUCCGGAAGCACUUGUCCGUCAUUCUCUGCAGCAGCUCCUGCGCGUUGGCCACGGCGAUCUGCACCUUCACCUGCUCCAUGAUGAGCCCCGGGUCCAGCUUCCCGCCGCCCGAGCCCCCGAAGUCCGAGCCGAAGCUGCCCUCCAUGGCUCCGCACAGUCAGCCGAACUGUGGCCGCGCGCACCGACCCGUCUCCCACAAGUCUCUUUCUUAAACUCCCCUCCGACCAGUUUGAGUGAGCCAAAUGUGUCCAUCUGGACCCUGCCUGGUACACUUCCCUCUUGAUGAGAUUUUUCUUCCCAUGCUUUUGCUACCCAAAAAUACUCUGAAGUUUGUUAAAAGAAAAGUUUCCAGAGAGAAAAAGAAAAAUCAUGUUGUUUUUUAUUUUUUCACAUUUUUGGAUGAUGAAAUUCUAAAGAGCCCUGAUUUUGGAUUGCAGUCUGCCAAAUGACACUGUAAACAGCCUUGAUUUGGAAUGGAGUUGCAUGCCCCAGAUCAAGGUUAUUUGCAAAUUUAUUUUGCCAAAAUCAGAACCCAGGUUUGAGAGUCCCAAUCCUCUUAUUUAUGGGAGUUAUUUUAGCAAACCGAGCAUAACUAUGGAAGGAAAGUAUAGAAACAGUUUUUCUUGCCUGUGUAUAUCUAAUUUGCAAACUACAAACAAUAUUUAAGCCAUUCAUCUGGACUCAUCAGCUCCAUGGUUGCUCCUGUCCAUCACAGCGCGUGUCCCCACACUGCUGCCCAGCUGCCCGGGUUCACACAGCACCCGGCCCUCAGGACACUCGAUCAGCUGCCCGCAGAGACAAACACGGUUAUCCCUCCACAAAAAUAUUCAAAAUCCAGCUAUAGGCAAAAAUGAAUAAAUCUCAGAAUGGAUGCUACA